rnacentral:lncRNA from 1 species
UCAGCAUUUAGAAUUUGUUUCUGUUUGUAAGGUUUAGAAAGCUUUGUUAAGCUAUAUGGAGAUAUCCUAGCUGAUAAAUUUGGAAUCCUAGAAUCCUAGGGAAUUCAGAAUUUGCAUUCGAUUUCAAAAUAUCUUCUUAAAAAUAAUAUUUCACAUAUAAUGUGAUGUGAAAUUAACUCUAUUAUGAGGCUGUUUCCUUUUUUAUGUUGGCUGGACUCUUCUCAUUAAUGGUUUAUCCCCCUACUUCUAAUGUUAAGUGGAUUUGUGCCUUUAGCAGAGCCCUGUGUUUUAGGGGGCAGACUUCUGUUUUGUAUUCUCCUCUUACCUAUUCAAGGCAUCAAAGGCAGGCAAUUUCCAGGAAUAUGUGGGGUAACUUCAAAUAGAUUCUAAGAAUCAUGGAAGGUUCUAGAACUUUGAAUCUCAACUAUGAAUCUGGAAGAUAAAUGCUUAUAAAUAGAGACAUGUUAGAGUGUGGGGCUGCUACAUUCCCUCAAUGGAUCACAGAGUUAAACACAAGGCAGGGCUACCUUCCAAGACUGUCCACCUGGAGACAUGCAGUCAGAGGUCUGCCUUAAUGGCUAGUAGAGAAGAGGCCUGGUGCAGCCACCAGGGGGAGCCCGUCAGGAGGAACUCUCAGGAUGCUAUGGGCCUCCAAGGCUCAGAAGAAAAACAUUGA